AACGAACGCUGGCGGCAGGCUUAACACAUGCAAGUCGAACGCCCCGCAAGGGGAGUGGCAGACGGGUGAGUAACGCGUGGGAAUCUACCCAUCCCUACGGAACAACUCCGGGAAACUGGAGCUAAUACCGUAUACGCCCUUAGGGGGAAAGAUUUAUCGGGGAUGGAUGAGCCCGCGUUGGAUUAGCUAGUUGGUGGGGUAAAGGCCUACCAAGGCGACGAUCCAUAGCUGGUCUGAGAGGAUGAUCAGCCACAUUGGGACUGAGACACGGCCCAAACUCCUACGGGAGGCAGCAGUGGGGAAUAUUGGACAAUGGGCGCAAGCCUGAUCCAGCCAUGCCGCGUGAGUGAUGAAGGCCUUAGGGUUGUAAAGCUCUUUCACCGAUGAAGAUAAUGACGGUAGUCGGAGAAGAAGCCCCGGCUAACUUCGUGCCAGCCGCCGCGGUAACAC
rnacentral:rRNA from 1 species